GGAGGCUUAGCUCAGCUGGUUAGAGCGCCUGCUUCACACGCAGGAGGUCGCUGGUUCAAGUCCAGUAGUCUCCACCA
rnacentral:tRNA from 1 species